rnacentral:misc_RNA from 1 species
AAAAAAAAAAAAAAUGGAAACUCUUGUUUGAACUGACAAAGCCUGAAGUCAAUUCAUGGUAUGCAGCCAUGAAGACAACUGCGAGGAAAGAUCAUCAAUGAGAGACCUAACCUCACUUACUUCCAUACAGAUUGCACUCACUAUUAUGAAGAUAUGAGUGUUCCACAUUGAAAGUGUCUUCAAAGGAUUUGAGGGACUCUUCCCAUGGUGGGGGAAUGUGCGAACAACACACAGAAUAGAUGGGAUUGUACUUAGUGGGGGUUGGGUUUUCAUUUUUGUUUCUCCCAAUAUUCAGGGCCUCAGAAAUGUGGCUCUGCGAAAUAGGAUGGCUUUGGACAUUAUGCUCACCAGCCAAGGAGGUGUUGGUCACAUAAUCUGAUCUGAUUGCUGCACAUACAUACAUACAUACAUCUGACAAUUUGAUGCAUAUUGUUUUUCAUUUAAAUUGCCUAUUGUUUGAGGAAAAGAACAAGGACACACAGAUUCCUGAAGCAUGGAAUUGGUGGUCAUAGUAUAUUUUAAAUGUGAAAAAUGUGUCAUUGGAAUAUUUGACAUCGAUUCAGAUUUUUGUUUGUAUUUAAGUGUUGUUGGUCUGGUGUAUUGAUUGUGUACUAUUUGUGUACUUUAAUCAAGAAUGCAAUUGGAUAUGUUAAAUUUCCGGGCCCUCAUCUAGAAUGAAAUUCUCAAUUUCAAGAUGAUGCGUUUGUCUAAAAAUGAUAGUUGUUUAGUGAGCAUGAAAUGCUCAAAGGGGGGAAAUGUAAUGGAAAUUUUUACAUUUGUGAAUGUUUAAUUGCAUUAGCAGACAUGUAUGUGGAUGACUGACCAAAUGGUUCACCAAAUUGUUUAUCUGAAAGGGCAACCUUAAGGUUUACGAUGGUGGCUUAAGAGACUUGAGUUGUAUGGCCUCGAGAAACCAAAUCUUUAUGGCUUCUCAUGGUAUCUCUGAUUGGGAUCAAACAACUGGGAUCUCACAGGGGGGGUCAUCCACAGAACAUGUAAACAAAUGGCCAGGAUGUCUCCUCCACUGAGUGAAACUACAGGAGGGUAAUAAAUACCUUUGCAUGCUUAGUGGGAGGGGGCUGUGAGUUAUAAGAACACAGAUUCUCCUAUGUUCUUUGCUCAUUUGUGCAUGUCAAUCAGGUGAUGUGUACUAAUGAGUCCAUCUGCAAAUGCUGAAUUAAACUUACAUAAAGAAGUGUUUGACAUUUUGCUUGUUUCACAGAAAUUGCCACCACAGCACAGAGUACAAACACGGUUGUGGUAAAUCAUCUUAACCAAAGUACCUUGCCUGCUACGCCCACUGGGGGGUUCUGCAUAUGUUCCCUGUUUCAUCUUAGCACGCUGCUCGGCUAACCAGGGAACAUCCAAAGAAUGGAGCCUUCAGCGCCAAUCAUAACUGUGUCCCCAUUUGCAACAAAUGGGUAAAUCAUAACAAAGGGUUCCUGACUGAACUCGGAAUUAAAUGGUUAAUAUCUGAAACUAUAAUAGUUCAACUGAAUUGUAGAUAUCUAAUGUCAUUUUAAUUCUACCAUUACCUGUCUUGACAUGUACUGUAGAUGCUUGAGAGAGUGUCUGAGCCAGGGACAGUAGACAUCACUGAGGUUCCAUCAAUAAGGAGAGUAUUGAAACACAUGAUAUUUUACAAUAUACUGUGAUGUAGAUUCUCAGAAAGUUACAGAAAUUUGUGGGGAAAAAUUGUUUGCAGAUGCUAUGAAUGUCAUGUUAAUUUCUGACACUCAGUUCACAUUUAUAGAGUUGGCUUGUUUUGUCAAGAAAUCAUCCAUGUAAAAUAAAAGAACAUGGAACAAAUUAUUUAUCAUGUAUUGCUAUAUUUCUUUCUUUACCAUUUUCACAUUCAGUAUGGCCAGAGGCAUUACGUUUUCAGGUUGUCCAUCCAUCUGUCUUGCCCAUUCAUGUGAAUGCGAUAUCUCAUGAACAACUACGUUAUGUUAGUCAAAGGUCAAAAGGUCAAGCUCACAUGACUUUGCAUUGUUUUGAAUACAAUUUAUCAGGAUUGUCCAAAGGAAAUAUCAUUACAUGUGGCACAAACAUUCAUUUGGACUCAAUGAUGACUUGAAUAGAAUUCAGUUGUCAAAGAUCAAACGGCAAGGUCACUAGGACCUCACAA